rnacentral:rRNA from 1 species
CCUACGGGUGGCAGCAGUGAGGAAUAUUGGUCAAUGGACGGAAGUCUGAACCAGCCAUGCCGCGUGCAGGAUGACGGCUCUAUGAGUUGUAAACUGCUUUUGUACGAGAAUAAUAGUUCUUACGUGUAGGGAUUUGAAUGUAUCGUACGAAUAAGGAUCGGCUAACUCCGUGCCAGCAGCCGCGGUAAUACGGAGGAUUCGAGCGUUAUCCGGAUAUAUUGGGUUUAAAGGGUGCGUAGGCUGUCGGAUAAGUUAGAGGUCAAAUGUCUGGGCUUAACCCCGGUACUGACUGUGAUACUGUUCGAAGAGAGAGCGGAAGCAGCAGGCGGAAUGAGUAGUGUAGCGGU